rnacentral:ncRNA from 1 species
UAGUUGGUGAAAGUCCAAUCCGAGUAAGUACCAAGACGCUCGGUAGCUGACAGGCAACUGGUGAAGAAAUUCUAAGGUUGAAGCCCUGUGACAAAGUAACUCUCUUGAAGAGUGCGAGCAAACUAACAGGUUGUAACAUGA